GGGGGUAUAGCCAAGCGGUAAGGCAGCGGGUUUUGAUCCCGCCAUUGCCCUGGUUCGAUCCCAGGUACCCCUG
rnacentral:tRNA from 1 species